GCGGUGUGGUUCAAAUAGUA
rnacentral:siRNA from 1 species